CCUACGGGGGGCUGCAGUGGGGAAUAUUGCACAAUGGGCGCAAGCCUGAUGCAGCCAUGCCGCGUGUGUGAAGAAGGCCUUCGGGUUGUAAAGCACUUUCAGCGGGGAGGAAGGCGGUGAGGUUAAUAACCUCAUCGAUUGACGUUACCCGCAGAAGAAGCACCGGCUAACUCCGUGCCAGCAGCCGCGGUAAUACGGAGGGUGCAAGCGUUAAUCGGAAUUACUGGGCGUAAAGCGCACGCAGGCGGUCUGUCAAGUCGGAUGUGAAAUCCCCGGGCUCAACCUGGGAACUGCAUUCGAAACUGGCAGGCUGGAGUCUUGUAGAGGGGGGUAGAAUUCCAGGUGUAGCGGUGAAAUGCGUAGAGAUCUGGAGGAAUACCGGUGGCGAAGGCGGCCCCCUGGACAAAGACUGACGCUCAGGUGCGAAAGCGUGGGGAGCAAACAGGAUUAGAUACCCGAGUAGUC
rnacentral:rRNA from 1 species